CUCCUUCUGAGGGAGAACUUGGAGGGUGCCUGGAAGACAGGGAGCAAUGUCAUCAAAGUUACUUGAGAACAGCACGUGGGACCUUGGUGGGAGCAGGUGAUUUUUUAGGUUUCUUCUGAAGUCGUUGCACAGAGGUUGCUGGGCGGUCUGUCAUGUAGUAUUGCUGUAAUAUGCAGCACAAUCGUGUUCAUUCUGCAGCACUAACAAGAGUCUCCAUAAAUGACAUCUCCUGUGCCAGAAAGCUGGUGUAAAUGCCUGCUGCUGCCUCGCAGAGCCGAUAACCUGCUCAGUCAGCUGGAGCCCCCUGCGGACAGCUGUCUCUCUUUUAGCUGAUGGAAAACUGCUACUAACUGCUGAAUGGAAGAGCGUGGAGCAGCAACCAUACUAGCUGCAGCAGCAGCCGCCGCUGCAGCAAGAGCAAGCAAGGACUCUAUUGUU